rnacentral:rRNA from 1 species
CCUGGUUGAUUCUGCCAGUAGUCAUAUGCUUGUCUCAAAGAUUAAGCCAUGCAUGUCUAAGUAUAAGCAAUUAUACCGCGAAACUGCGAAUGGCUCAUUAAAUCAGUUAUCGUCUAUUUGAUAGUACCUUACUACUUGGAUAACCGUGGUAAUUCUAGAGCUAAUACAUGCUGAAAACCCCGACUUCGGAAGGGAUGUAUUUAUUAGAUUAAAAACCAAUGCCCUCCGGGGCUCCCUGGUGAUUCAUAAUAACUGCUCGAAUCGCACGGCCUUGCGCCGGCGAUGGUUCAUUCAAAUUUCUGCCCUAUCAACUUUCGACGGCUGGGUCUUGGCCAGCCAUGGUGACAACGGGUAACGGAGGGUUAGGGCUCGACCCCGGAGAAGGAGCCUGAGAAACGGCUACUACAUCCAAGGAAGGCAGCAGGCGCGCAAAUUACCCAAUCCCGACGCGGGGAGGUAGUGACAAUAAAUACUGAUACAGGGCUCUUUUGGGUCUUGUAAUUGGAAUGAGUACAAUUUAAUUCCCUUAACGAGGAACAAUUGGAGGGCAAGUCUGGUGCCAGCAGCCGCGGUAAUUCCAGCUCCAAUAGCGUAUAUUAAAGUUGUUGCAGUUAAAAAGCUCGUAGUUGAACCUUGGGCCUGGCUGGCCGGUCCGCCUCACCGCGUGCACUGGUCCGGCCGGGCCUUUCCCUCUGGGGAGCCGCAUGCCCUUCACUGGGCGUGCCGGGGAACCAGGACGUUUACUUUGAAAAAAUUAGAGUGUUCAAAGCAGGCUUAUGCUCGGAUACAUUAGCAUGGAAUAAUAGAAUAGGACGCGCGGUUCUAUUUUGUUGGUUUCUAGGACCGCCGUAAUGAUUAAUAGGGACAGUCGGGGGCAUCAGUAUUCAAUUGUCAGAGGUGAAAUUCUUGGAUCUAUUGAAGACUAACUACUGCGAAAGCAUUUGCCAAGGAUGUUUUCAUUAAUCAGGAACGAAAGUUAGGGGAUCGAAGACGAUCAGAUACCGUCGUAGUCUUAACCAUAAACUAUGCCGACUAGGGAUCGGACGGUGUUAUUUUUUGACCCGUUCGGCACCUUACACGAAAGUACAAGUUUCUGGGUUCUGGGGGGAGUAUGGUCGCAAGGCUGAAACUUAAAGAAAUUGACGGAAGGGCACCACCAGGGGUAAACACUUGAUUGUUUCGCCGCAGUUAACUCUGCCCCGGAAAGCCGCCCGAAAGGGUCGGUGGUGCCCCGCUGGCUAGUCGACGCCCCCCGCCCGGGGGGCGGCGGCGACAUCCUCAAAGUGCGGGGAACCCCUAAAGCUCCUGCUCCAAAGCCGGCCCGCGAAAGCAGCCGGUGGCCAGGCGAAAGGCCUCGGGUACUGGAACAACGCAGGAGAUGCUACAAUGGGCGA